UGGCUCUCCGACUUGGACGUAAGGGCACAGCAGCUGGGGCGAUCCACAGGAAGGGCCCGGCGCGCGUCCAGAGUCGCCACCGGCCCCCGUGAGGGGGCGGCACCUCGUCCAGCCGCGGCACGUGCCCAGCCCCGCUUCGCACCCCAGCCCGACCGACCCAGCCCUUAG